rnacentral:rRNA from 1 species
UACAGAGGUGGCAAGCGUUGUUCGGAAUUACUGGGCGUAAAGGGCGCGUAGGUGGUUUGAUAAGUCCGGGGUGAAAGCCCGUCGCUCAACGACGGAACUGCCCUGGAUACUGUCAGACUUGAGGGUAGACGAGGUUGGCGGAAUAGAAGGUGUAGCGGUGAAAUGCAUAGAUACCUUCUAGAACCCCGAUUGCGUAGGCAGCUGACUAGGCUACACCUGACACUGAGGCACGAAAGCGUGGGGAGCGAACAAGG